GACGAACGCUGGCGGCGUGCUUAACACAUGCAAGUCGAACGGAAAGGCCCUGCUUUUGUGGGGUGCUCGAGUGGCGAACGGGUGAGUAACACGUGAGUAACCUGCCCUUGACUUUGGGAUAACUUCAGGAAACUGGGGCUAAUACCGGCUAGGAGCUCCUGCUGCAUGGUGGGGGUUGGAAAGUUUAGGCGGUUGGGGAUGGACUCGCGGGUUAUGAGCUUGUUGGUGGGGUAGUGGCUUACCCAGGGUUUGACGGGUAGUCCGCAUGGGAGGGGGGCCAGGCACAUUGGGACUAAGGGACGGACCAGACUGCUACGGGAGACAGCAGUGGGAAAUAUUACACAGUGGGCGGAAGUCUGAGGCGGCAGUGCCCGGAGCGGGAUGACGGCCUUCGGGUUGUGAACCGCUUUCGCCUGUGACGAAGCGUGAGUGACGGUAAUGGGUGAAGAAGCACCGGCUAACUACGUG
rnacentral:rRNA from 1 species